AUUUAUGUAGUUUAAAAGAAAACACUACACUUUCACUGUAGAGAUAUUUUUAUUAAUCAUAAAUU
rnacentral:tRNA from 1 species